rnacentral:rRNA from 2 species
GAGCUUGCUCCCUGAGAUUAGCGGCGGACGGGUGAGUAACACGUGGGCAACCUGCCUAUAAGACUGGGAUAACUUCGGGAAACCGGAGCUAAUACCGGAUACGUUCUUUUCUCGCAUGAGAGAAGAUGGAAAGACGGUUUACGCUGUCACUUAUAGAUGGGCCCGCGGCGCAUUAGCUAGUUGGUGAGGUAAUGGCUCACCAAGGCGACGAUGCGUAGCCGACCUGAGAGGGUGAUCGGCCACACUGGGACUGAGACACGGCCCAGACUCCUACGGGAGGCAGCAGUAGGGAAUCUUCCGCAAUGGACGAAAGUCUGACGGAGCAACGCCGCGUGAACGAAGAAGGCCUUCGGGUCGUAAAGUUCUGUUGUUAGGGAAGAACAAGUACCAGAGUAACUGCUGGUACCUUGACGGUACCUAACCAGAAAGCCACGGCUAACUACGUGCCAGCAGCCGCGGUAAUACGUAGGUGGCAAGCGUUGUCCGGAAUUAUUGGGCGUAAAGCGCGCGCAGGUGGUUCCUUAAGUCUGAUGUGAAAGCCCACGGCUCAACCGUGGAGGGUCAUUGGAAACUGGGGAACUUGAGUGCAGAAGAGGAAAGUGGAAUUCCAAGUGUAGCGGUGAAAUGCGUAGAGAUUUGGAGGAACACCAGUGGCGAAGGCGACUUUCUGGUCUGUAACUGACACUGAGGCGCGAAAGCGUGGGGAGCAAACAGGAUUAG